rnacentral:rRNA from 1 species
GGGGAAUUUUGGACAAUGGGGGCAACCCUGAUCCAGCCAUGCCGCGUGAGUGAAGAAGGCCUUCGGGUUGUAAAGCUCUUUCGGACGGAAAGAAAUCGCCGCCUCUAACAUAGGCGGUGGAUGACGGUACCGUAAGAAGAAGCACCGGCUAACUACGUGCCAGCAGCCGCGGUAAUACGUAGGGUGCGAGCGUUAAUCGGAAUUACUGGGCGUAAAGCGUGCGCAGGCGGUUUGGUAAGACAGGUGUGAAAUCCCCGGGCUUAACCUGGGAACUGCGCUUGUGACUGCCAGGCUAGAGUCCGAGAGAGGUGAGUGGAAUUUCCAGUGUAGAGGUGAAAUUCGUAGAUAUUGGAAAGAACACCAGUGGCGAAGGCGGCUCACUGGCUCGGUACUGACGCUGAGGUGCGACAGCGUGGGGAGCAAACA